UAACCAGUCGUCUCCCUCACAAGUCACAACUCCAGCUACCUUCUUCCUUCCGCUAUCCCCCAGCCUUCUCUGCCGCUGCCUCCGCCGCCUCGCCACGCGGCGGCCGGCAAGCAGGGCCCCGCAGCCACGGCGUGGGCGGACUCCUCUCCUUUCCCCCCGACCACCUCCGCCCUCGCCUUCUCAGGCCUCCUCGCGCGCCCGGCCGGCGACGGCGAGCAUCUCGGCUCGAAUCGAACUGAAGUUGAAUCUGCAUGCUCCAGGAUGGAGAUCGACGGGCAGGAGCCUGGGCACGAGCACGACGGGAUGAUGGAGCCGCAGGUGGUGGACCUCGAGGAGGAGGAGGAGGACGACAGCAUCAACUUCUGGGCCUCGCUGGGCGUCCAUGCCGUCGACCAGAUGCCGCUGCACGGCGGCGUCCAGAUCGUCGACCAGCCGUCGCCGCCGCCGCAGGAGCAGGCGCAAUCGCAGUCGCAGUCGGUCCGCAAGGACCUGUUCCCGGUCGACUCCGACCCCUGCCUUGAGCCCCGGGUUGGGAUGGAGUUCGAGUCCGGCGAGGCCGCCAAGACCUUCUACAUUGCCUACGCGGGGCGCGUGGGGUUCUCCGUCCGCAUUGCUCGGUCGCGGCGGUCCAAGUGUAACGAGUCCAUCAUCAUGCUGAGGUUUGUCUGCUCCAAGGAAGGGUUCAGCAAGGAGAAGCAUGUCGUCGCGGGGAAGAAGACGAGGAAGCGGCCUGCUUCCAUCCGGGAGGGAUGCAAUGCCAUGCUCGAGGUGCUACGCAGAGGCGAUAGCAAGUGGAUUGUCACCAAGCUUGUCAAGGAGCAUAACCAUGAGGUUGGGAUGCCCAGCAGAGUGCACUACAUUGCCAUGGAGGGUGAUACGGUGGUCGACCCUUACAUUGGUAUGGAGUUUGAAUCACUUGAGGCCGCCAAGACAUUCUACUACUCAUACGCGACCCGUGUCGGGUUUGAAGCUCGUGUGCGUCAGUCCCGCAAGUCGCAAGAUGAGUCACUCAAGAUGCUGAAGCUUGUGUGCUCAAGGCACCGAUACCAUUCAGGAAGAGAGACCAAUGGAGGGGAUCCCAAGAGAGUGCAGGCCUUGGAUCCCUCCAGGGAUGGCUGUGAUGCAUUAUUUGAGAUAAUUCGGAAAGACAGAGAUGCCUGGACGGUCUCUAAACUCAUCUUAGAGCAUACUCAUGAGCUGAACCCGGCACCAACAAGUAGAGUUCGCUGUAUUCGCUCACAGGGUGAGGUACUUGUUAUUGCAAAGAACUUCUCUGACACACGCAAUCUCCUAUUGAACGGUCUAGAUUUCCAGCAUCCUAGAGAGUUCCAGUAUAAUGAUUUAGGGCCAGAGGAUGCUCAAAGCUUACUCAGAUAUCUCAAGAACACACAAAGCGAGGAUCCUGCUUUUUUCUAUGCUGUGCAGCUUAACAGUAAUGGACACACAGCCAAUAUUUUCUGGGCUGAUGCUAAAACUAGGAUGGCUUACUACCAUUUUGGUGAUGUUGUUAGGCUUGGUACACUGUGCAGAAACAGCAAGUAUAUACCUAUUGCCAUAUUUUCAGGCGUCAAUCAUCAUUUGCAGCCUGUUGUCUUUGGCUGUGCACUAAUUGUUGAUGAUUCUGAAGCAUCGUUUGCAUGGUUAUUUGAAAAAUGGCUUGAAGCAAUGCCUGUGGGCCCUCCUGUCUCGUUGGUAUUAGAGUUUAACCAAGAAAUGGCUGCCGCAGCUACCAAAAUACUACCUGAUACUCAUUGUACGUUCUGUGAGAAGCAUAUUUUGGGCACUGUCAGGGAAGAGCUAGGAAGUUUGUAUCCAGAACCAGAACUAGACCAUUUCAUUACUGAUCUGAGAAAGUGCAUUGACUGCUGCAGAUUAGAAGAAUCAUUUGAAUCAUGUUGGGAUUCUGUCAUCAGAAAAUAUGGCUUCAGAAAUAAUGAACUAUUACAGUCUCUAUAUGAAAUUCGCAGACAAUGGGCCCCUGCAUACACAAGGAAGGUAUUCUGUGCCAGAAAUCUACUGCCACAAAGCUGUCAGAAUCUUGAAAAUGUUAUCGAGAAGCACUUCUCAUCCAAGACCCAGUUAUGGGUGGCCGUUCAGCAACUUGGACAAGCUGUUUGUAAUUUUUAUGAAAAGGAAACUCAGGCAGAUUAUCUGACAACAUUUCAAAUGGCAACAGUUAGGACUGCAUCACCUCUUGAAAAGCAAGCAAGUUCAAUAUUCACCAGGUCAAUAUUUGAAAAAUUUCAGGAUCAGUUUGCCGAGUCCUUUGGGUACCAUGCAGAUAGACUUGAGGAUGACAUGCUACACAAGUAUCGUGUCACAGUAAGUGAAGGGGAUGAGGAGGCACAUACUGUUUCUUUCAAUCCAGAAAAAAAGACAGUGGGUUGUAGUUGCUGCCUGUUUGAGAGCUGCGGCAUCUUGUGUCGGCAUGCUCUUCGUGUUUUCAUUAUUGAAGGUGUGCGUGCUCUGCCAAAGGCUUAUAUCUUGAAACGCUGGACAAAGCAUGCAAAAAGUAUUGCCACUGUAGAUGAUUACAUUGAUCUAAGAGGAUGUCGUGACGAUCCUUCAACCACAAUGUACAAUGAUCUCCAUUGUGACGCAAUCAAAUGUGCAAAAGAGGGUUCGGCAUCCUCUGAGCUCUAUAGUGUUGCUAAAGAGGCAUUGCACAAAGCUCUUGAUGAGGUCGUGACUUUAAGGAAAAUCAGAGACCAGCAAAAUCUACAAAGCUGUAAAAGGCCGAUCAAGAAGUCUGCUAAGGGAAAAGAUUCAGAUCAUUCUACUAUCAUAAGCUCAACAAGGAAUGCGCUGGGCAGUGGGAACUGAAUCAAGUAGCUUAUCUUGCCAUGUCAGAUGAGCUUAUCUUCACAUACGGAAUGUCUGGUGCAGUGCACAUAAAGUCCGUACUGCUGAAGGCUGGAAAGGAGCAUGUUAACAUCUAAAUGAAGAAAGGAGUGCAAUACCAGCUGUAUACAUCAAUCAUGCUGUAUCAAGGGAGACAACCUUUGGAUACAGCUAUUCAGCAAGCUGAUAGAACAUACCUGGCAGAAUGAAUCAAGGUGGGGAGUUGAAGGGAAGCUCUGUUUUCCCCAUUACGGAGGCAAGCGUGAAGAAAAAGGUGCCACUUGCAGGCAUAUCCACAGUCCAUAGCAACUCUGAUUCCAGUUGCAAGUUGUAUGUUGCUGUUCGAUCAGUUGAAUUUUACUCGAACAGCAUGCCGCGUGCACAUAACGCCACAACCAUGUGCAGGUAAUGACAAAACCACAGAGAGGAGGGUCAGCGUGCCAAGAUAGGUCAUGAUUGAAAGCAAUGUAUGCAUACAGACACACUGCAAAAUCUAGCCUGAAGCUGGAUGCUUCGACAAUCAAAGGGUUGGCAAACUGACCACUGCUGCAUCUUACCUGGGAACAGAAAUGAGAGGAACUCCUUUUCUUGUUACUUACAAGAAAAGAAAUGCGCCCACCUGCCAUGUGCAUCGGGCUCCCACUCGAAGAUCAUCACCUCGCGAGUGGACAAGGAGAAAUGUAUGCUCUGAUAGUGGUUUCUCAGUUAUAAAUUGCACAGUUUGGUGGUACUUGUGAGGUUGCAGCUGUCAGGAUCAGAAUGGGGGAGCAUUGCAAAGCGUCUCCCUGAGCCUGAGCUUUCAGCCCCUGGUGGUUCCAGGCCCAGGCAGACGUGUCCCAACAGUUGGUUCUUCUUCCUUGUACAUGUCUCCAUCGGCUUGCUCAACCCCACCAAAUCCGCCGCGCCGGCCCACGGUCUCCUUGGCUGAGAUAGAGAUUGCAAGCGUGCUGUGUGUUGUGUGUUGUCGCUGGCAUGGAGCUUGUGGCCGAACGGAUAGACCACUAUGUUGGCCUGUCAUUGGUCACCCAAGGGCAAGGGGCAGCAUGCCUUCUGCCUUUACCAACUCUCAGGUUCCCUGCUCUCUCUCUCUCUCUGCUUUGCUUUGCUGAGUUCAUAUGCACAAUGCAAUCAUGCAUAUACUCCCAAUUAAACAGUAAUGCUAAUGCAAUGUCAAACCUUUCUUUUCAUCAUCCAAUUAAUUAUGAAUUAUCUUUGCACUGUUUGUUUA